rnacentral:rRNA from 1 species
UGGGGAAUUUUCCGCAAUGGGCGAAAGCCUGACGGAGCAAUACCGCGUGAGGGAGGAAGGCUUUUGGGUUGUAAACCUCUUUUCUUAGGGAAGAAGAACUGACGGUACCUAAGGAAUCAGCAUCGGCUAACUCCGUGCCAGCAGCCGCGGUAAUACGGAGGAUGCAAGCGUUAUCCGGAAUUAUUGGGCGUAAAGCGUCCGCAGGUGGCUUUUCAAGUCUGCUGUCAAAGACCAGAGCUCAACUCUGGGCAGGCGGUGGAAACUGGGAAGCUAGAGUACGGUAGGGGUAGAGGGAAUUCCCAGUGUAGCGGUGAAAUGCGUAGAGAUUGGGAAGAACACCAGUGGCGAAGGCGCUCUACUGGACCUGUACUGACACUCAGGGACGAAAGCUAGGGGAGCGAAAGGGAUUAGAUACCCCCGUAGUCC